rnacentral:lncRNA from 1 species
GCACUUCGUGCGCAGAUGGGAAGCGCUGACCAGUCACGGUUUGGAUAGAGGAGCUGAAGGCUGAAGCAGAACUUCCCAGUGCCUGGGUGCAUGCAGCCUGCCUUUCAGUGUCCCAACAGAUCUAAAUUAUUUUCUGAUGAAAGUUUUCUCCAUCUCCAUGGAUGAGAAACAUUUGGCGACUGAU